rnacentral:rRNA from 1 species
AACGUACGCUGGCGGCACGCCUAACACAUGCAAGUCGAACGCAGUAGCAAUACUGAGUGGCAGACGGGUGAGUAACAUGUGGGAAUCUGCCUUGUGGUUCAGGACAACAUUGGGAAACCGAUGCUAAUACUGGAUAAGCCCUUACGGGGAAAGUUUUAAUGCCAUAAGAUGAGCCCGCAUUUGAUUAGUUAGUUGGUGAGGUAAUGGCUCACCAAGACAAUGAUCAAUAGCUGAUCUGAGAGGAUGAUCAGCCACACUGGGACUGAGACACGGCCCAGACUCCUACGGGAGGCAGCAGUGGGGAAUCUUGCACAAUGGAGGAAACUCUGAUGCAGCGAUGCCGCGUGAGUGAAGAAGGCCUUUGGGUUGUAAAGCUCUUUUGUAGGGGAAGAUAAUGACUGUACCCUAAGAUAAGGUCCGGCUAACUUCGUG